GGGUCAGUAGGUUGGUCAUGCCUCAGGUAUGCACUGGUCUCACUGAUUCCUCCUUCCUGAUGAGCCGUAAUGCCAUUAAUUUGGUGUUGCGAGGAAUCUGGACUGUUACUUUGAAAAAAUUAGAGUGUUUAAAGCAGGCUCGCGCUUGAAUACAUUAGCAUGGAAUAAUGAAAUAGGACG
rnacentral:rRNA from 1 species